rnacentral:RNase_P_RNA from 1 species
AGAGCCGGUCGUGUGGUUACCCUGUCCUCUAACAAGUGGAUGGGGAGGAAAGUCCGAACACCGCAGGACAGGAUGCCUCCUAACGGGAGGGGUCCCAUCCGUCAGAUUGCGGACGGGAUACGGAAAGUGCAGCAGAGAGUAGACUAUCCGCCUGCUGGCGGAUACAGGUGAAACGGUGGUGUAAAAGACCACCAGUCCCAACAGCAAUGUCGGGAGCUUGGUAAACCCCAUCCGGUGCAAGACCAAGUAGGAGAGCAUGAGGUUGUCCGCCUCACUAUGACUCUUGGGUUGGUUGCGUGAUCCCCACCGCAAGGUUGGGACCAGAUGAAUGACCACAGUCUUGAUUUUUCGAGAUACAGAAUUCGGCUUAUAGACCGGCUCUAAAA